AAGAAAAUGUGGCUUUAGCGGCAUUUUUAUUACCGGCAUGUAAUAAAGUGCCACUAAUACUAGUUAUUCCUGGCAUUAAUAAUCAUGCCGGAAAAUAUUAUCUUUAAACGGCAUUAGUUAUAAAAUGUCGGUAAAAAGUACUUAAAAACGGCAUUAUUGUCUAAAAUGCCGGUAAAAAGUACUAAAAACGGCAUUAUUGCAAAAGCCGGUUAUAGUUGCAAAUACAACAAAGCAAAACGACAUAGUUUCGGGAAAACCCAGUCUUUUUGGGUCCAAAACACACUUAAAUCACAUCUCCCGCUGGGAAUUCCCCAAGCACUUGCGAUCUCCCGCUAGAAAUCUCCCAAUCACUUCUAGUAUCUAGUAUGCCUCUCCAUUAGGGGUCCAAACGAAAUCAGUGUGAGCCUCUCUCUCUCUCUCUCUCUCUCUCUCUCUCUCUCUCUCUCUGUGUGUUUCACAGAGCUCCUCUUUCUCGUGGAUCUCGAAGAUGGCAACAAUCGACUUCGCAAAUGUUCUACCUCAGUGGUUAGUAAACGAAUCUACAUUUUUCCGAUUCCAAUAGUUUAAUCAAUAGCACUCAAUCUCGUUGAACCACUCUUCUUGUGUGAUGAACCCUAGCUCCCACACGAAGAAUCGAACCUCAUAACUUGCGAAAAAUUUUCCUUUCUGUUCAAUAAGUUUCUUUUUUUUUUUAAAUUCUUAGUUAAAGAGUCUUUCUUUCCAUAUGCGUAUGUAUGUGUGUGUAUGUACACUUGUGUAUGUGUGCUUAGUUGUGAAAUGGAUUGCUUCAAUCGACUUGACUUGGUCUCAUGCUCAGCCAAAGAAAAAGGUUUUGUAGCUUGGUCGACUGAUUUUGUUAGGGCUUUUGUUCUGGUAAGAUUUUGUAUCUAGAUCAACUGAUUUAUUAGGGAUUGAGUUUCCUUAACGCUGAUAGACUGAAUCCUUAGGUUAAUGCUGAUCAACUGAUUCCAUUUGGCUAACAGCAGAUCUACUGAUUUCUGCGUACCUACUCUGAAAUUCAAACCGCUUUAUGUUGCAUGCAUGGGCUCUAAUGCUGGGGAAACUGUGCAUUUAGCUUUCUAGAAUGCCUUGGUGUAAAUCAAGAUGUUGGUCAAAUCCAAAAAAAAAUAGGUUGCACUUGGAGGACUGGUUUUGUCUUCCGUCUCUUCGCUAGUUCAUUUGCUUCUAGCCAAGUAUUCAAGUGCUGAUCUAGUAUGCUGCAGUGCAAUAACAGGGUUUACUGAGGCUUUAAAUGUGAACAUCGAAGGGAGACAGCCCAUCCUUCCCUCUCACUUAGCUGAGUAUCAGAGCCUCAGAUGUCGGGUAGCAUUUCAUGCACUUCGUUUCCGCCCAAGAAUUUUGGCAUUGGGACACCUAAUGGUGGAAAGGUAAGAAAAUUUUGCCAACCUUACCUUGCUUUCAAUCCUGGCGUUGUGAGAGAUACCUUGGCAUAUCAUGGCCGCGCUGAACUUUUUCAGAUAAAGCUUGAUGACUAGCAGAAGCCAACGCGGUGGAAGAAGCUCGAAGGAAAGCAGAAGUGGAAGCCAAAGCUGAAGCCAAAAGGAAGAGAGAAGCAGCACACCUAGCUCUGCAAAAGGUUGAUAGGACGUAGAUAGACACGGACAUGCAAUAGGAAUGAUGGGAAAUCUUCCUGAUUAUGACAACUGUUUUUGGUCUUUUUGUUUUGGAGAUUCGCAACCAAAAGCAUGUUUUGGGUUUUUGUGUUGCUUUGGUUAGUAGGAUCUUUUGUAUUUGGAGAUACACAUGCAAUUGGAACUUGUAUUUUGACGCUUUGGGUUUGAUUUUCACAUUGGCAUUCUAUGCCCCGCAUUGUUAUUUUGUUGCUUUGAGAAUUGUCUUUUACAAUGUCCAAUUUACUUAUAUAUGUAACUUGCAUUUUGGAUUUGCUAGUUGAACUUUUGCAAGGAGAAAAUAUAGUUUGUUG